CCUACGGGAGGCAGCAGUGAGGAAUAUUGGUCAAUGGCCGCAGGGCUGAACCAGCCAAGUCGCGUGAGGGAUGACGGUCCUAUGGAUUGUAAACCUCUUUUGUCAGGGAGCAAAGGGCGCCACGUGUGGCGCUUUGCGAGUACCUGAAGAAAAAGCAUCGGCUAACUCCGUGCCAGCAGCCGCGGUAAUACGGAGGAUGCGAGCGUUAUCCGUAUUUAUUGGGUUUAAAGGGUGCGCAGGCGGAAUGUCAAGUCAGCGGUAAAAUUUCGGGGCUCAACCCCGUCGUGCCGUUGAAACUGGCGUUCUUGAGUGAGCGAGAAGUAUGCGGAAUGCGUGGUGUAGCGGUGAAAUGCAUAGAUAUCACGCAGAACUCCGAUUGCGAAGGCAGCAUACCGGCGCUCAACUGACGCUCAUGCACGAAAGCGUGGGUAUCGAACAGGAUUAGAUACCCCAGUAGUC
rnacentral:rRNA from 1 species